rnacentral:misc_RNA from 1 species
CGACUCAUUAGCUUAAUCGAAGGAACGAAAUUUACCAUACUCGGGCUAUAAACUAUAUUCCAGAGAAAGUUUGUAAUAUCUUAACUUUAUACAUAUAAUUUAACGGAUUAAAAUAGAAUAAAAGAAAAAUGAUACUUGUAAUCAUAAGUAGAUAUUUCUACACAAUCUACGUUAACGGAAACGUACAAGCACGAAAAUAUGCACACAGCUAUAGGCCACGUCCUAAUAAGCUUUGCCUGUAGUUUCAGCCGUUGUUUCAGUUAUACGUCCACUUGUCUGGUCCAUUAAACGUCGAUACGAUUGCAAAACGUGGCCGAACAGGAAACCAAGCAGCCAAUAGGAACGAUUAAAUUUUAAUGAGAAAAUUACCGAUAUUAAAAGGAACGCUGGAGCUGUCGCAGGCAUUCGACAUCUAAUAACAAG